UCGAGCGAACGGACGAGAAGCUUGCUUCUCUGAUGUUAGCGGCGGACGGGUGAGUAACACGUGGAUAACCUACCUAUAAGACUGGGAUAACUUCGGGAAACCGGAGCUAAUACCGGAUAAUAUUUUGAACCGCAUGGUUCAAAAGUGAAAGACGGUCUUGCUGUCACUUAUAGAUGGAUCCGCGCUGCAUUAGCUAGUUGGUAAGGUAACGGCUUACCAAGGCAACGAUGCAUAGCCGACCUGAGAGGGUGAUCGGCCACACUGGAACUGAGACACGGUCCAGACUCCUACGGGAGGCAGCAGUAGGGAAUCUUCCGCAAUGGGCGAAAGCCUGACGGAGCAACGCCGCGUGAGUGAUGAAGGUCUUCGGAUCGUAAAACUCUGUUAUUAGGGAAGAACAUAUGUGUAAGUAACUGUGCACAUCUUGACGGUACCUAAUCAGAAAGCCACGGCUAACUACGUGCCAGCAGCCGCGGUAAUACGUAGGUGGCGAGCGUUAUCCGGAAUUAUUGGGCGUAAAGCGCGCGUAGGCGGUUUUUUAAGUCUGAUGUGAAAGCCCACGGCUCAACCGUGGAGGGUCAUUGGAAACUGGAAAACUUGAGUGCAGAAGAGGAAAGUGGAAUUCCAUGUGUAGCGGUGAAAUGCGCAGAGAUAUGGAGGAACACCAGUGGCGAAGGCGACUUUCUGGUCUGUAACUGACGCUGAUGUGCGAAAGCGUG
rnacentral:rRNA from 1 species